rnacentral:rRNA from 1 species
GCGGUGGUGGGAUCGUGCAAAGGUAGCAUAAUCAUUAGUUCUUUAAUUGGGAGCUUGUAUGAAGGGUUGGACAAGAGAAAAUCUGUCUCUAUUAUAAAGGUAGAAAUUAACUUUUAAGUGAAAAGGCUUAAAUUUUUCAAGGGGACGAUAAGACCCUAUAAAACUUUAUAUACAAGUUAGAUUUAGUUAAAUUUUAUUAAUAAGAAUUUAAUCUUUAAUUGUUUAUUUGGUUGGGGCGACGUAGGUAUAAAUAAUAGUAACUGCUUUAAGUUAAAUCAUAAAUUUAUGAUUGUUUAAUUGAUCCUUUAUAAAGAUUAAAAGACUAAGUUACUUUAGGGAUAACAGCGUAAUUUUUUUUGAGAGCUCAUAUCGAAGAAAAAGUUUGCGACCUCGAUGUUGAAUUAAAAUGUCUUUAUAGUGUAGCAGCUAUAAGAGAAGGUCUGUUCGACCUUUAAUUUUUUACAUGAUUUGAGUUCAGACCGGCGUGAGCCAGGUCGGUUUCUAUCUCUUGGUAUUUAAAGAAUCGGCUUAGUACGAAAGGAUUGGACGGUUGAAAGAAUUUUUUAAUUGAAAU